UGCUGGAGGUAUCAGAAGUGCGAAUGCUGACAUAAGUAACGAUAAAGCGGGUGAAAAGCCCGCUCGCCGGAAGACCAAGGGUUCCUGUCCAACGUUAAUCGGGGCAGGGUGAGUCGACCCCUAAGGCGAGGCCGAAAGGCGUAGUCGAUGGGAAACGGGUUAAUAUUCCCGUACUUGGUGUUGCUGCGAAGGGGGGACGGAGAAGGCUAUGUUGGCCGGGCGACGGUUGUCCCGGUUUAAGCGUGUAGGUGUGUGUUCCAGGUAAAUCCGGUUCACUUUAACACUGAGGCGUGAUGACGAGGCACUACGGUGCUGAAGCAACAAAUGCCCUGCUUCCAGGAAAAGCCUCUAAGCAUCAGGUAACAUCAAAUCGUACCCCAAACCGACACAGGUGGUCAGGUAGAGAAUACCAAGGCGCUUGAGAGAACUCGGGUGAAGGAACUAGGCAAAAUGGUGCCGUAACUUCGGGAGAAGGCACGCUGACACGUAGGUGAAGUGAUUUACUCACGGAGCUGAAGUCAGUCGAAGAUACCAGCUGGCUGCAACUGUUUAUUAAAAACACAGCACUGUGCAAACACGAAAGUGGACGUAUACGGUGUGACGCCUGCCCGGUGCCGGAAGGUUAAUUGAUGGGGUCAGCGCAAGCGAAGCUCCUGAUCGAAGCCCCGGUAAACGGCGGCCGUAACUAUAACGGUCCUAAGGUAGCGAAAUUCCUUGUCGGGUAAGUUCCGACCUGCACGAAUGGCGUAAUGAUGGCCAGGCUGUCUCCACCCGAGACUCAGUGAAAUUGAACUCGCUGUGAAGAUGCAGUGUACCCGCGGCAAGACGGAAAGACCCCGUGAACCUUUACUAUAGCUUGACACUGAACAUUGAGCCUUGAUGUGUAGGAUAGGUGGGAGGCUUUGAAGUGUGGACGCCAGUCUGCAUGGAGCCGACCUUGAAAUACCACCCUUUAAUGUUUGAUGUUCUAACGUGGACCCGUAAUCCGGGUUGCGGACAGUGUCUGGUGGGUAGUUUGACUGGGGCGGUCUCCUCCUAAAGAGUAACGGAGGAGCACGAAGGUUGGCUAAUCCUGGUCGGACAUCAGGAGGUUAGUGCAAUGGCAUAAGCCAGCUUGACUGCGAGCGUGACGGCGCGAGCAGGUGCGAAAGCAGGUCAUAGUGAUCCGGUGGUUCUGAAUGGAAGGGCCAUCGCUCAACGGAUAAAAGGUACUCCGGGGAUAACAGGCUGAUACCGCCCAAGAGUUCAUAUCGACGGCGGUGUUUGGCACCUCGAUGUCGGCUCAUCACAUCCUGGGGCUGAAGUAGGUCCCAAGGGUAUGGCUGUUCGCCAUUUAAAGUGGUACGCGAGCUGGGUUUAGAACGUCGUGAGACAGUUCGGUCCCUAUCUGCCGUGGGCGCUGGAGAACUGAGGGGGGCUGCUCCUAGUACGAGAGGACCGGAGUGGACGCAUCACUGGUGUUCGGGUUGUCAUGCCAAUGGCACUGCCCGGUAGCUAAAUGCGGAAGAGAUAAGUGCUGAAAGCAUCUAAGCACGAAACUUGCCCCGAGAUGAGUUCU
rnacentral:rRNA from 1 species